GACGAGGGGUCCAAGCGUUGUUCGGAAUCAUUGGGCGUAAAGCGGGUGUAGGCGGCUUUGUAAGUCAGGCGUGAAAUCCCCGAGCUUAACUUGGGAAGUGCUUUUGAUACUGCAGAGCUUGAAUGUGGGAGAGGGUAGUGGAAUUCCAGGUGUAGUGGUGAAAUACGUAGAUAUCUGGAGGAACACCGGUGGCGAAGGCGGCUACCUGGCCCAACAUUGACGCUGAGACCCGAAAGCAUGGGGAUCAAACAGG
rnacentral:rRNA from 1 species